rnacentral:rRNA from 1 species
AACGAACGCUGGCGGCAGGCUUAACACAUGCAAGUCGAACGCCCCGCAAGGGGAGUGGCAGACGGGUGAGUAACGCGUGGGAAUCUACCCAGAUCUACGGAACAACAGUUGGAAACGACUGCUAAUACCGUAUACGCCCUACGGGGGAAAGAUUUAUCGGAUUUGGAUGAGCCCGCGUUGGAUUAGCUAGUUGGUGGGGGGAAAGGCCUACCAAGGCGACGAUCCAUAGCUGGUCUGAGAGGAUGAUCAGCCACAUUGGGACUGAGACACGGCCCAAACUCCUACGGGAGGCAGCAGUGGGGAAUAUUGGACAAUGGGCGCAAGCCUGAUCCAGCCAUGCCGCGUGAGUGAUGAAGGCCCUAGGGUUGUAAAGCUCUUUCACCGGUGAAGAUAAUGAAGGAAACCGGAGAAGAAGCCCCGGCUAACUUCGUGCCAGCCGCCGCCGUAAAAC